rnacentral:lncRNA from 1 species
GCUCCUCCUUGCCGCCAGCUCCUUCGCCGCGGCCAAUGCCAAGGCUACACCCCCGUCUGCCACCGCGGCGGCAGGCGCCCGCGCCGGCUCCCCUGCCCCGGUUCCGACGCCGUGGCCGGAGCAGUUCCACGCGGUGAUUUUCACGAACCUCACCGAGAGCGGCGGCCGGCUGCAGCUGAUAGACAUCUACUACGACUGGCCCAAGGGCCGCAACCUCAACCUCAUCCACAACCAGCUCUCCGGCGACCCGACCUACAACGUCGAGUGGGCCAACGGCACCUCCUACCUCUUCGACGCCGCGUCCUGCUGGACCUUCCACUUCGCCGUGGGCCUCCUGCCGCCCGACUGGAUGAAGGCCCGCGGCGCCGCCUACCUGGGCCGCGGCCGCCUCGACGGCUUCGACUGCCACGUCUGGUCCAACUUCCUCUUCGCACGCUACUACGAGGACGCCGCCACCGGCCGCCCCGUCGGAUGGAACUUCAACGGUCGGUGUUCAACUAAUUACGACCUGCAAAUCCCCGUCUUGAAUUAGUUUCUUGAUUAUUCUGCCUAGAAUUAUUCUAAAUUCUCUCCGUUCUGCGGAUGGUCAGUACGAAUGAAUCAGCUUGAUGAAGCUAGCAGAACAAGUUUAUGAUGAUUGCUUCAUGUGAUCUUUGUUUUCCAGGGAUGUUGCGGCAUGUGCUGAGCUUUGAGGCAGGGGCAGUGCUGUCGGACUCCGGCAAGUGGCAGGCGCCGGCUUACUGCUUCAAUGGCAGCAACGCCGACGCCCCUGCUCCUUCUCCGGUUGAUCAGCUGAUUCGCCGGGGCUCCGGCAGCAGCUAAAGGUCCUCCACAGUGUGUUGCCAGAGUGAUGCAAAAUACUAUUUUCCAUACCAUUCAAUAGGAAAUCUGGCACCCCCACUCCCUUUGGCAGCAUCUACUAAUUUGGAACUUAAUUUGAAAGCGAUAUUUCGACCCGGACACUUUUGGAUGCUUCUAAUAACCAACGAAUAGCAAGUGCUCUUCCUUGUUUAGAUCCUAUUUCAAUCGGAACUUUCCGCGUCGAUCCUUUUUUAUUACGUCUUGUUUUUACUCCUAUAUUGGGAGUUACUCUACGUAUUGCUUGACGUAAAACCAAUAGUGGAUUUGUUUCUGUCUUUUGUUGAAUCUUUUUCACAGGCUCGAUAGAGAAGUUGAUAAGCCAAUGAUUUUUUUCCGUCUUUCAUAAUACGGUUAACCACCAUGUUAACUAAUCGAUUACGAAAAAUUGGAUCGGGUUUUGCGGUUCUUUUUUCUGCAGUACCUCGACGUGACAUGAACCUAUUGGGAAUUAGUCCUACACUUGUCCUAUCAUACCUUCUUCGUGUAUACGAAGUAGUAGACUUGACUAACUCAAUUCUUAGGAAAUCGCGAAUCAGAUCAUUUGUUCUUACCUCAACAAGAGCUCUGUUGCCAAAGAAUAAGUAGUUGAUAGCAAAAAACAGUUCAAGGCAGAAGUCUCUUGAGAAUGCAAAAGGCCUGCAAACCUAGUUCACACGAGUGGAUUCUUUCACAGCUCGUGCACCGAUUUUAUCCAGAUUUUGACUCUUUUCUUUGCCAGGUUAGUUGAUCAAUGCGAAUUGUCAAGGUAAGUUGUUGAUCAAAUCCAAAUUGACCAUGCAACGCACCACUAACUUUCCCAAAUGGGUCAACGAAAAGUGCCACCCAAUGUUCUAGUACGAGUACAUCCAGUUCCGGGUGGUCAUCUAGUAUGGGACCUAAGAGAAACCCUUUUUGAAUCCUUUUAUUAAGCCAUUGCUAAUCCCGUAAGGCAAUCCUUCAACGUUGUAGAAAAGAGUUCAAUACAAAAGCAUAGAAAUUAUGUACGCCAAUAACAAAUACGAAUACGAAUUACGCCUACGAGCCUACGCAUUGGCAUGUUUCUUAGUAUAAAGCUAAGAACGAGAAUAGCCUACUGCCUCCACUCGGAAAAGGUAUCUGGUUCCUUUCAUCCAAAGAAAAUAAGGAUACGCAGAUCGAUGCAAAUCACAGCUAAGGGAAUCUUUUCCUAUAACUGCUAACGGCGGACCGUGUCUUUUAGCCCUCACUAGAUGACAACUUGCUUACUUUUUCACUUCUUCUUAAGCUUGGCAGACUAGUUCCUGACUGACUUGAUAGUGCGAUGAGCUUACUUGCUCUAGUUCCGUCUUUCCUCGCUAGGACGACGAAUUCACUCUAUCUGAAGAUCUGAGAAAGGCGCUGAUUACAGCUCUGUCCUUGGAUGGACCAUAGGCCUGAUGCUAGGAGAGUGUAGUUCGAGCAUUCUAUUGUGUGUUCGUGAUACGCAAAGCAAUCUCCUGUUUACUAAUGAUCUAAUGACAGUUGAUUGAGACUUGCCAUUGUCGUCUUUCGAAAGCGAACUCUUAUCUGGUUUCACUCGGGGUCUCCUGUCGACGGGAAGUGCUCGGUUCGGAUAACUUCUGUUUCCGUACCGGGAUCAGCAGGAGGGGAAUUUGAGGUUCUUGGUCCUCUGCGAAAUCAGUCCGCCAACUUGCUCUUUUCGUGCAUGACAGGUGCUCAUUCUUACGAAUGGUGGUGUGGCACAGCCCUUUACAUUUUCAAAAAAGCAGGAGCAACUUUCCACCUCGACUCCUUCCUUCCCCUCAUUCUAAGCCCGGCCACCUUUUCUUGUUUCAGUAGUUCUCCCCGCGAGCUCCUCCUGCAACUCCUCGAGAUCUAUUUUACAACUUUGCCCCAUGCCUGGACCAGUGGGCCCUCAAAUCAUGAACUAAUUAGGCUUAAUAGAUUCGUCUCGCGAAUUAGACUUCAUCUGUACAAUUAGUUUUUUAAUUAGACUAUAUUUAAUACUUCUAAUUAGUAUUUGAACAUACGAUGUGACAAGAAUUUAUCCGAACACCUCCUCGAGAUCUAUUUUACAACUUUACCGGACCAGUGGGCCCCACGGCUUUCUCCACCACUCGGUCACUUCAGCUUCGACUGGUCAGUAGCACUCGCCAAGCGAUAAGCUCGGGGCAAGCCGCAACAGCCGCCGAUGUUGCCGCCGCCGCCGCCGCCGCCGCCGCCCCUUAUGCUUCUCCCGCUCCUCCUUGCCGCCAGCUCCUUCGCCGCGGCCAAUGCCAAGGCUACACCCCCGUCUGCCACCGCGGCGGCAGGCGCCCGCGCCGGCUCCCCUGCCCCGGUUCCGACGCCGUGGCCGGAGCAGUUCCACGCGGUGAUUUUCACGAACCUCACCGAGAGCGGCGGCCGGCUGCAGCUGAUAGACAUCUACUACGACUGGCCCAAGGGCCGCAACCUCAACCUCAUCCACAACCAGCUCUCCGGCGACCCGACCUACAACGUCGAGUGGGCCAACGGCACCUCCUACCUCUUCGACGCCGCGUCCUGCUGGACCUUCCACUUCGCCGUGGGCCUCCUGCCGCCCGACUGGAUGAAGGCCCGCGGCGCCGCCUACCUGGGCCGCGGCCGCCUCGACGGCUUCGACUGCCACGUCUGGUCCAACUUCCUCUUCGCACGCUACUACGAGGACGCCGCCACCGGCCGCCCCGUCGGAUGGAACUUCAACGGUCGGUGUUCAACUAAUUACGAC